GAUGAUAAUUUAUCUAUUUUUGUUGGAUACUGAGAGGUUUGAGGCAGUACGCCCUGUCCUAAGAGAGAUGGCUCUUGCUGGUCUUGUUCACCUGGAUGCAAAGCAAGAAGCAAGUUACCCAACAUAUAUUUACUUUGUUGCUCAAAGUUGUAGGAAAGAGUGCUCCUGAAUUAUCUAAAGAAGCUGCUGGUGUUUGCUUAUGGUCAUUGAGUCAAAACACAGAUAUUUACAAAUAAUGGACAAGGUGUACU